ACACGACGGAAAGGAUGGGAUCAGUGUUUCGCUUUUGCCGGCUAAAAUCGUUUUUUGUUGGCCAGUGGUCAAAAGUGGUCAAAAGUGGCCGAAAGUGGCCAAAAUGGUAGAAAAUGGUCAAAAGUGGUCAAAAGUAUUCUAUUGGCUAAUGGUCUGCGCGGCGGGUUUAAACAGACUCUCGGCCGGUAUUAUUUAUUCUUUGCACAAAAAAUAACCAUAGUUCUUACAAAGUAAUUAAAAUAGUCUGUAAUAAUUACUAAUCUAAUAAAUUCAACUUGGACAAAUACAGUAAGUAAUGUAUACAUUUGCUUGAUACUUGAAUAUUUUAAUGGUUCAUUGGUCAAGUCGUAACUAUUCCUGUGUCAAUUAUUAAUGAUGCAAUUUGUAAUUUAUUGCUUAUUUGUAGAGAUAAAAACCAAUUUUAAAAUUUUAGAUCCAAUCAAACAGCGAUAAGGAGCCUACAACUUGUUCUGCUAGAUCCUGAUGAAAUCCUGAAUGUCCUUAGUAAAAUCAUUAACUUAUCAUUAUUCCUUGUCGCAGAAUGCCCCAUUUUUGCAUUUUGACCACUUUUGGCCACUUUUGACCAUUUGCCACCUUUUUUGGUAAGUGGUCAAAAGCCACUUUUGGCCGCUUUUGACCGGCGGUCUGGCCAAUCCGGUUAUUGCCAAGCGAAACACUGGAUGGGAUCGAUUUUUUAAAUGAUUUUUUGACAAACCUUUAACAUGUACGUUGUGUUUCGUUUCUUGCUGGUUUGCUACAUUUCUUGCACUGGAAAGUAAGAAAUGCAAGAAAUGCGAGGUGCACGAAAUUGCAAGAAAAUGCAAGAAAUACGCGCCACAUAACCACACGCCGUAAGGACUAUAGUUAUUUCUUGCACCCCAAACACGGCAUGUACAUAUGUGUCACCGAUUUGUGAAAUAUGUGUGCAUUAUGUAGAUAUUUUAGGGAAAUAAUCCACGCAAAAAGUAUGAAUAUUUCUUUUAAAUAAAAUUAACUCGGUAACUCUGCCCGUUCAGGAGUAGUUAUUGAAGGUCAAAGUUUGAUUUGGGGGGAUGAUGUGAAAAAUUGAGAUUUAAGAGACGUUGAAUGAAUUUGAUAACAUCCUUUUUGCAGGGUCCCCGCCUAGCUGGGGGUAUUUUGUUAAUCUCGGGAUAAUGGUUACACAUAUUACAUCGCGUUACACACUAAUAUUUAAUUGUAACCCUUUCAUCACAGUAAUAUCUCGUCUUGGGGGUCGUGCGGAGCGAGUACCGUCUCAAUUUCCCCUCUGCAUUUCGAGAUACGAAAAUGAGACGAUGUACAUAUGUACUUAUGUACAUAUGUUUUCGUUCUGCGUUAUUUGAGGAUUUGGUGACAAGUUCAACGUCAUUUUAUUACAUUUUUUAUGUUGACAUCGUCCUUAAUUAUGUGUGAUGGAUGGGAGAUGAGAUCACCAAAUUUUAUUUUUCGAAUCUCUUUUCAUCCAAGAUUUUAAAAUUUUGAUGAAAUUUAUAAGUAUGAUUUAUCUACAGAGCCGCAUUUUUGGGGGUCAGUCUCAUUUUAUUCUAUUUUAUGAUUUUAUUUAUUACCGGUUUUCGUGAUUAUUGAAUUUCUUGAAGUGACUUGAAUUUAAUGAUGAUUUAGUUCCAAUUGCGACUCAGGCUUUAGAAGUUUUGUGCCCAGAGAAGAUUUUACAUCUAUUCAGGUCUACAUAAGAAAUGGAAGCCGAGUUAUUUAGAGAGACGGCUUAUCUAUCUACUUGUCUUGUCGGCUUCACUCAUCUCGGGCAGGAGCAGGAGACAGUGGUCAGUCUAAACGUAUGUAUGGGGGCCCUGCAGAAGGGAACUCAACUUAUCUUUUAAAUACGAUAUGCAUGUACAUUAGAAAAUUUUCAAAAAAUAUUAAAAUUUUUUAAAAAGCUGCAAGAGCGAUAAAGGAACUAUGAGGGUGUGGCGAGCGUAUUACAUGAGCAUCUAAAUUUGGCAGUGCAAACGUCGUGUCGUACGUAUUCCUGAAUUUUACGAAAUUUUUUGCACGGCCUCCAAAUUUCAAAAGCCUUUUAGCACGUCUUUUCUGGACUAAUAACUUUCUACUUUUCCAUUUGCACCGCCAUUUGCACCGCCAAGUUUCACAUGUGCUAAUCAGCCCAAGAUAAAUACUUCAAAUUAUGUGUCGUCGCCGUCCCUCCAAAGUAAAAAUUCAGGCAGGAGGAAGAAUUUGCAAUCUUAAACAAGUACUAAAUUUUCACUGUAAUUAAACAAACUUUGAAAAAUUUAAGGAAAAAAAUACACAAAUUUGUCACCGAAUUUUAUAAGCUUUUACAAAAUAAAGAUCACACUUAGAAAAAUUAA